GCCGCUUUAGCUCAGUCGGUAGAGCACGUCAUUCGUAAUGACGGGGUCACGUGUUCGAGUCACGUAAGCGGCA
rnacentral:tRNA from 1 species